rnacentral:tRNA from 1 species
AGCUCCGUAGUGUAGUGGCCAAUCAUCGCGGACUCUGGAUCCGUGGACGGCAGUUCAAAUCUGCCCGGAGCUA